rnacentral:rRNA from 1 species
UACGGAGGUGGCAAGCGUUGUUCGGAAUUACUGGGCGUAAAGGGCGCGUAGGCGGCAUGACAAGUCACUUGUGAAAUCUCUGGGCUUAACCCAGAACGGCCAAGUGAUACUGUCGCGCUAGAGGUGCAGAAGGGGUAAUCGGGAAUUCUUGGUGUAGCGGUGAAAUGCGUAGAUAUCAAGAGGAACACCUGAGGUGAAGACGGGUUGCUGGGCUGACAC